AGCAAGGUUUUUUGGUGAAAACAAAACCUAGAAAAUGCAUUUUAAAAUUAUUUAUGUUUAUUGGUAUGUUAUAUAUUAGUUGAGUUGUACUUUGGGUUUGCGUUUUUGAUAUAUUUUACACUUGCAGAUGAUAUACCUCCUCUUGAUGAGAGUUAUUUUCUAAAACUCGCUUCUUUUUAAAAUCUUUUCAAUUUAAAUUGGCACCCUAAACUUUGCAAGAACCCUCGUCCAAAUCCUGAUAUUAAGACAGUCUUCACUGAUCAUUCUGGCAAUCCUACAGCUAAUGGAGCUCGUCCUCCUCCUACAAGCACCCCUCUUGUGGGACCAAUUCCUAAAGUUGGUGCUUUUCUGCCUCUUGGUGCUCAUGGUGUGAGUAAUUUGCAUCUAUCUGCCAUUGACAACAUUGGUUCGUGCUCAAAUAACAAUUGUCAGGUGUCUUACGGUGCAGCCAUUUCAGACUGUUGUUUCCCCAUCUCUUGGUGCUGUUGCUGGUUGGAUGUCAAACAGUAGUCCUUCCUUACCUUGCCUUGCUGUGGUCUCCUGGUCUUGUUCAGUCUUCUAUUGCUGAUUUUUUGUUAUUGAUUAAAAUUAAUGCUUUUCGGUCUAUAAUGGGGACAAAUGUUGGUGACAUUAGCCUUUGGGAGGUGGGAUCCGUGGCAAGGCUGGCACACAAGUCUUUCAAGGUUUGGGACAAAUCAGCUGCUUCAAUGCCAUUGCAGGUAUUCACCAUCUUAACUUCCUAUGUGUAUGAUAGAACUCCAAUUAUCAAGAGAGGAGGGGAAAAAAGGGAAAUUCUACACCACUAGCUAUGAUAGCAACAGUUGAAGAUAAACAUUAUCAAGAUAAGUCUAUUAUAGCAACAGUUGGAGAUAAACAUUAUCAAGAUAAGUCUAUGAUAACAACAAUUGAAGAUAAACAUUAUCAAGAUAAGUCUAUGAAGCAUAGUGAAACUUUUCAAGAAGCUCAAGAUAGAGAUAAAUCAAAGGAGGGAGAUAAUGAUAACUCAGAGGGGAGAUGAGACUCAUCCAGCAGUUUAUUCAACUAUAAAAAGGGGGCAGAGCAAUGCAGAAGAUCAUGAGAAAUUACACGACACUUGGGUGGGGAAAUUGAGGGCCUUCGGCCCAGGGACACUAGUUACUGAGAUGGGCAACUCCAGUGUAUCAUUUAUUCUGAUCAUCUAGUUUCAGUCAAUAAGCAAUUGUAUUCUGGCACUGCCAUAUUUAAUAAAGCAAUUGCAUUAGUGUUCGGCCUUUACAAUUAUAUCAUUGCACAAAUUAAAUAACCUUUUCCAAUUACACAGUAAACUGAUACACUAAUAUCAUAACCAAUGCACAGAAUUCACUCCAGAAUCAGCAUCGGAGGGUUGCAGCAGCAUAUUUCCAAUCCAGAUGGCUUUGUUGAAUGAUGCUCCGAUAUCAGUGAAUAGGAAUGUUUGGGGGCCAGAUGGACUUAUGCUUG